AUUUUAAAAAUCUGCCACUACACAUGGAGACGCAUUUGAAGCAGUUAGGCCAAGUAAAGGAAUAGCGCAUGCUAAACUGCACACAUCACAAGAAUAUAGCCUGCAAGAUGUGGUGAGGGAGGUCGCGGAAUUUAGGAUAACCCGACUGACUGACGUGGAGAACGUGGAGUCACGAUAAACACUACUUCACCUAAGAGACUUGAGUAUCCAGUUCUUCGUUGACCUUCAGCAUUCAGUUGUUUGUCUUCACCUUUUCAGGUAAGCAAUUUAAAAAAAAAAUGCUUUUGUAAUGUUGAGAAACACUGAAAUUAUUACUCAUAAAGAACUUUCAACCACUGUUCUGUGAUGUCAUGUAUAGUGAUAUACAAAUAUAUCUGAAGGAAAGGUGUAUUUGGGAUAAUCAAUAUUAUUAGUAUUAUUCAUGUAUUUAUUCAUUUUUAAAUCAGAGAAUGGGGGAAAAUAGAUUAUUAGUACAAAAACUAGUAACUAGUAAAAAAAAAAAUUGGUAACAAUGUUCAUUCAUUAAUUGACGCUUGGUCAAACUCUCAUCUAAUUAAGUAUUGCUGUCUCAUUAAUGUAUUAAUGUAUUUAUUUAUUUUGUAGGCUAAAACCUGAGAAGCCAUCACCAUGUUGUUGUUGUUUCACAUCAGAAUAAGUAUUUCACAUGAUGCAGAUUUUUCAGCAUGUGGUCCUCAAUAUAUAGUAUAGAAAUCACUGUAUUUUCUGACUUUUCCAGGUUUCCUGUGUCCAGCAUCUUCAAGACAGACUAAGCUAACUUUUCAUAUUUUUUGCACAUUUAUAUUUAGGUUAGGUUAGGAGUAGGUUAGGUUUAUAGUAGAGUAUUUAGUUUGUAUAGUUUAGCUUUUUAUGCUGGUCUAGGGACAGUUAAGUUGGCAAAUUAAUUUAGUUCAGAUCACUUGCAGUUGCAUAUUAUUGUUACAAUUGUGUUAUUUUGUGAGUUAUUGUUGUACAGGCUAUUGUAUAUUGCAGGACCAAGUGAGACGAGGAAGACCACUGCUUCCAAGAUGCCACGCUCAGAAAGUGCGUUGGACAAGUCUCGACCUUGCAGAUCCUGCCCCACUUAGCCCAACCACUUCCGACCAUGGGGUACCUCAAAGACCUCCGUCAACCAGCCGGCUGUGGAUGAUGGAUAACGCACCCACAACUCCUUCUCCAGUCUACAAGGUUCUGAAAAUACAGACACCCCCCCAGUCCAAGAACAGCUGGAUGACCUCUGGACCCACUUGCCCCCGUUCACCAGUUGAAAAGAUAGGCUUUUUAAAAAAUUCUUCAAUUGUUAAUUCUGCACAAAGUGAUACACAAAACAUUGUAUGUCUUCCAUUUCAACAAACAUGAAAUGUAUAUUUAAAUACA